ACACACACACACACACACACAUAAUUAAAAAUAAAAUCUUUUAAAAAAAUGAAAAUUUACAUUUUAAAUCACUUUUAACUACUUUUGUUUUUUGUGGUUUUGGCUUAAUUUGUUAACUUGGAGUAAAACUCAAGGGAAAUUAGGCCAGUAUUUUAUUGUGUAGUUAGAGGCUGUGUCUCUAGCAUGUAACCUGAACGAACGUCUUCCAAAUAAGUAAGCUUUGCUAACAGUAGAAAGGAAACAUUAACUCACACUCCUUUUUAGAAAAAAGUUCAACAUUAUAUUAGUGAUUUUAUUAACACCAUUGCUUUUAUUGAAUGGUUCCAUAUAAUGCUACUGUUAAUGCUUUUAUUUAUUUACUUGUUUGUUUUAAACACAAUCUUGCUCUGUAGCCUUGCUGGCCUGGUACUUGAUGUCUAGUGCAGGCUGCUCUUUAACUCAGAGCACUUCUCCUGCCUCAGCAUCCCAGGUUCUGGGACAAUUAGAUAAAUAUACACAAAAAGUUGAGACCCUUCCACACCUAUAUACAAAAAUUACCUCAACUCAGGUCAUAAAUGGUAAAAAAAAAAAAAAUGAAAAUACACAUUAUAUAGAGAUAUAUUAAAAGAUUAUGUAAUACAGAAGAAAAUAUAUAGAAAAUUAUGUAUACAUGGUAGAAAAGACUUACAAAUCAUAUCUAGUAAGACUUAUAUCCAUAACAUAUAUAAAAUUUUAUAACUCAUAACAAUGAAAAGACAAUUCAUUUAAAAAAGAUAAUGAAUCUAUUGAUAGAAGAUCUGAAUAGACAUUUCUUCAAAGAUAUAAAAGGCCAAUAUAAACACAUACAAUUUUCAACAUCAUUAACAAUUAGGAAAAUGCAACUUAGCAUCUAUUAGAAUGUCUUAUCUACUUAGCAUUUAUUAGAAUGGCUACAGCUAGUCUUGACAUGGUGACACACACCUGCAUGUAAUCACAGUUCUAGGGAGGCUGAGGCAGGACAACUGUACAUUUAAGUUCAGCUUGGGCUGUAUAUUAUGACCCAUAUUAAAACAAAAUAAAAAUGAGGCCUGGAGAGCCUGGCACUCAGUGGUAGUCCCCUGUAUGGAUGUAGCCCUGGGCUUGAUCCCCAACAUGGUGGGGAGGGACAGAAAUAAUAGCAAGUGCAGAUGAGGAUGUGAAGAAUCUAGAACCUUUAGAAUCUGAGUGUAAUCUCCAUAAUUGGGAGGUGGAGGGAGGAGGAUAAGGAAUUUAUGGUCGACCUCUGCAGUAUAGUAGAGUUGAAGGUCAGCUGAGGCUUCAUGAUGCCCUCUCUCAAAAU
rnacentral:lncRNA from 1 species